GGCAGGCCCUUGAUUGCGAAAGCACCGCGGAACAGCGGCUUGAACACCUCCAGGACAUUUUCUGUCCUAUGAGCAGAGUUCUAAAAAAAUUAGAUUUCUUUAACAUAACCUAGGACUGGUUAAUUUAUUUAGAACAAUGUGACUUACGAGGAUAAAGUUGCCGAUUAGUUUACUGAUAUUCGUCACCAAAGUAAAUCCGGCUCCAAAAGCUUUUGAAGGGACCUCCAGUGACACUUUGUUCCUAUCAAAUAUCGGGGUGUUGUCAGUGGUCGCCGAGACCUACCAUUAGAAGAAAAAAAAUUUAUUUCUUCUUUCAAUAAAAUUACAGUCAUCUGACUUAUUAAUUGUCAAAAAUCUAGCUUAAUUAUCUAAGCUGUUAAUAAAAUCAGUGCUUCCAUAGCUAAAAAAAACAAAAAAACUGUGCAACAAAACCCAAAAAAGUGCCAGGGUAAUGAAGCAUUUCACCAAGACACUAGUAAUUUACAAAGAAGAUAAACGCAUGGCAAAUUACAACACAAUAUAC